GACGUAGGGGGCCAGCGUUGCUCGGAAUUACUGGGCGUAAAGGGUGCGUAGGCGGCGCGGUAAGUCGGGUGUGAAAUCUCGGAGCUUAACUCCGAAACUGCAUUCGAUACUGCCGUGCUUGAGGACUGGAGAGGAGACUGGAAUUUACGGUGUAGCGGUGAAAUGCGUAGAUAUCGUAAGGAAGACCAGUGGCGAAGGCGGGUCUCUGGACAGUUCCUGACGCUGAGGCACGAAGGUCAGGGGAGCAAACGGG
rnacentral:rRNA from 1 species